rnacentral:rRNA from 1 species
AUUGAACGCUGGCGGCAGGCCUAACACAUGCAAGUCGGACGGUAGCACAGAGGAGCUUGCUCCUCGGGUGACGAGUGGCGGACGGGUGAGUAAUGUCUGGGGAUCUGCCCGAUAGAGGGGGAUAACCACUGGAAACGGUGGCUAAUACCGCAUAACGUCGCAAGACCAAAAAGGGGGACCUUCAGGCCUCUCACUAUCGGAUGAACCCAGAUGGGAUUAGCUAGUAGGCGGGGUACCGGCCCACCUAGGCGACGAUCCCUAGCUGGUCUGAGAGGAUGACCAGCCACACUGGAACUGAGACACGGUCCAGACUCCUACGGGAGGCAGCAGUGGGGAAUAUUGCACAAUGGGCGCAAGCCUGAUGCAGCCAUGCCGCGUGUAUGAAGAAGGCCUUCGGGUUGUAAAGUACUUUCAGCGGGGAGGAAGGCGAUGUGGUUAAUAACCGCGUCGAUUGACGUUACCCGCAGAAGAAGCACCGGCUAACUCCGUGCCAGCAGCCGCCGUAA